GGGUGGUGUGAAGCAUUUUGUUCCCAAAAGGAACGAACCUUCUCCCGAAGCACAUCGUCCAUUCUUCCACAACUGCUAAUUAUCCUGCAACGAUAAUGUUACUAAUAAUUAUGCAAGCGAAAGUCUUCGGGCGUUGACAGUGAAAGGUGUCUAAUACUUCAGACAUUGGUCAAUGGAGUCAUCAGGGAGACCGCAAGUCUACUGAUGUCAAUCACGAAAUACCUGGUGGGACGGCCAUCCCUUAGAGAGUCCGCAAGACUUUACAGAGUAGAGUAACGGUUGAGUAACUGGCAACGAAACGAGUGGUUCAUCGUACUGAACCGACACUGAUUCGAUACUACGGGCAAUCGUAGUGGACAAUGUGAGGAACCGAAACAAUGGAUAAUCUCACGAAAGACGGGUCACAUAAACGUAUAGUCUCAGCGU
rnacentral:sRNA from 10 species